UACAGAGGGGGCAAGCGUUAUUCGGAAUUACUGGGCGUAAAGUGUGCGCAGGUGGCCGCGCAAGUCGAGUGUGAAAUCCCCGAGCUUAACUUGGGAAUUGCGCUCGAAACUACGUGGCUCGAGUGUGGCAGAGGAAGGUGGAAUUCCACGUGUAGCGGUGAAAUGCGUAGAGAUGUGGAGGAACACCGAUGGCGAAGGCAGCCUUCUGGGCCAACACUGACGCUCAUGCACGAAAGCGUGGGGAGCAAACAGG
rnacentral:rRNA from 1 species